rnacentral:rRNA from 1 species
UACGGAGGGGGCUAGCGUUGUUCGGAAUUACUGGGCGUAAAGCGCACGUAGGCGGAUUGUUAAGUCGGGGGUGAAAUCCUGGAGCUCAACUCCAGAACUGCCUUCGAUACUGACGAUCUCGAGUCCGGGAGAGGUGAGUGGAACUGCGAGUGUAGAGGUGAAAUUCGUAGAUAUUCGCAAGAACACCAGUGGCGAAGGCGGCUCACUGGCCCGGUACUGACGCUGAGGUGCGAAAGCGUGGGGAGCAAACAGG